UACGUAGGUGGCAAGCGUUGUCCGGAUUUAUUGGGUUUAAAGGGUGCGUAGGCGGUUCCAUAAGUCAGUGGUGAAAUACGGCAGCUCAACUGUCGAGGUGCCAUUGAUACUGCGGAACUUGAGUGUUGAUGAGGCAGGCGGAAUUGACGGUGUAGCGGUGAAAUGCUUAGAUAUCGUCAAGAACACCGAUAGCGAAGGCAGCUCGCCAAGCAACAACUGACGCUCAGGCACGAAAGUGCGGGGAUCAAACAGG
rnacentral:rRNA from 1 species